rnacentral:rRNA from 1 species
UACGUAGGAGGCAAGCGUUUGUCCGGAAUUACUGGGCGUAAAGCGCGUGUAGGUGGUGGGACAAGUCUGCUGUGAAAGUCGGGGGGCUCAACCCUCGGAUGCCGGUGGAUACUGUCGGGCUUGAGUACGGAAGAGGCGAGUGGAAUUCCUGGUGUAGCGGUGAAAUGCGCAGAUAUCAGGAGGAACACCAAUUGCGAAGGCAGCUCGCUGGGACGUUACUGACGCUGAGACGCGAAAGCGUGGGGAGCAAACAGG